GUGAAUCAUCAAAUCUUUGGACGCAAAUUGCACUCUCUGGUAUUCCGGAGAGUAUGCCUGUUUGAGGGUCAGUUUAAAUAAAAAUCGGUGUGGUUUCUGCCUUUCGUGGUGACGCACCGGAUUUGGGUCGGCUUGCCUUCGGUUAAGUGACCUUAAAUUUUGCAUGAUUUUUUUCGUACGGAUUUUAAUUGUUUUAAGUACGUUUGCGAUAUCGAAUUCUAGG
rnacentral:misc_RNA from 1 species